CAGCCGCCGCGGGAAUACGAGGGGGGCAAGCGUUGUUCGGAAUUAUUGGGCGUAAAGGGUGCGUAGGCGGCUUGGCAAGUCUUGUGUGAAAUCUAUGGGCUCAACCCAUAGUCUGCACGGGAAACUGUCGGGCUUGAGAAUGGGAGAGGUGAGUGGAAUUUCCGGUGUAGCGGUGAAAUGCGUAGAUAUCGGAAGGAACACCUGUGGCGAAAGCGGCUCACUGGACCAUUUCUGACGCUGAUGCACGAAAGCUAGGGGAGCAAACAGGAUUAGAUACCCCUGUAGUCCCUGUCUCUUAUAC
rnacentral:rRNA from 1 species